rnacentral:rRNA from 1 species
AGAGUUUGAUCAUGGCUCAGAUUGAACGCUGGCGGUAUGCUUAACACAUGCAAGUCGAACGCGAAAGCACCUUCGGGUGUAAGUAGAGUGGCGGACGGGUGAGUAAGGCAUGGGAAUCUGCCCUAUAGCGGGGGAUAACUUGGGGAAACCCAAGCUAAUACCGCAUACACCUACGGGUAAAAGAUGGCCUCUUCUUGAAAGCUAUUACUAUAGGAUGAGCCCAUGUAAGAUUAGCUAGUUGGUAGGGUAAAAGCCUACCAAGGCUACGAUCUUUAGCUGGUCUGAGAGGACGAUCAGCCACACUGGGACUGAGACACGGCCCAGACUCCUACGGGAGGCAGCAGUGGGGAAUAUUGGACAAUGGGGGCAACCCUGAUCCAGCAAUACCGCGUGUGUGAAGAAGGCCUGCGGGUUGUAAAGCACUUUUAUCUGUGAGGAAGGGUUUAAUGUUAAUACCAUUAGACAUUGACGUUAGCAGAAGAAAAAGCACCGGCUAACUCUGUGCCAGCAGCCGCGGUAAUACAGAGGGUGCAAGCGUUAAGCGGAAUUACUGGGCGUAAAGGGUGCGUAGGCGGUUUAGUAAGUCGGAUGUGAAAGCCCUGAGCUUAACUUGGGAACUGCAUUCGAAACUGCAAGACUAGAGUACAGAAGAGGAAAGUGGAAUUCCCGGUGUAACGGUGAAAUGCGUAGAUAUCGGGAAGAACAUCAGUGGCGAAGGCGACUUUCUGGACUGAUACUGACGCUGAGGUACGAAAGCGUGGGGAGCAAACAAGAUUAGAUACCCUGGUAGUCCACGCCCUAAACGAUGAGAACU